AAUGGGAGAAUGACAAAUAAGAUUUUUCCUCUUGAUUUUUAGCUUUUUCUUCCUAAGAAAAAUUCAAAUCCAACUAAAAAUGCUAAAAAUCAGAAGGAAAAAUCUGAUUUGUCGUUCUUCUAUU
rfam:Gossypium hirsutum cultivar TM-1 chromosome 14, whole genome shotgun sequence